AUUGUGUUCUGUGAAAAGAGAGUCCUGCCAAGGGCUACGAGGCAGAAAACUGAUAUUAUUAAAGUGGUCUUCUGAACGCAACUCUCUGCAAGGUCCUAAGGGUUCUAAGUUGAAUAAGGCCCACUCCCUCCCUUCCAGGACUUUAGCUGAGGUUGGUUGGGGCAGAAGUCGGGCAAGACUCAUCGGAACGGAUUAACAGAGACAGAAUCCAGAGGCAACGGGGUGAAUUCCAAGUAUAGAAAAGACACACUUGGUCUGAGGGUAUGUUUCAGCUCAGGCAUGCUGCCAUCAGGACCACGUAAAGCUGGAUUUUUCUACGCUAGUCCAUUUGCACGAUCUGGACUCAGAAGAGAUUUAAGUUUCAAAUCUGGCUUUGUCAGUUAAUGCUUGUGGGAUCUCAACCACGUCACUGACUUCUCUGAGCAUGCUUCCAUAUUUCUACAAAGGAAACAAUAGGUGACUCUGCUGAGUUGAGCACUUGCGAGUACCAAGCAGUGAGGACCUGAGGCACAGAUGCUAACCAGCUUGCUGGAGAUCACACACUCAUGAGUGGCAGAGUGGGGCUUGGAACCGGGUAGCCUGGCUCUGGAGCCCUCACUCCAUCCACACACCAUGCUGGGACCCAGUCGAGUGACCAGCAGACCGGUUGUGUGGGUUAGGUGGAAUGGUGGAUAUAAACCACACAGCCCAGCUCCUGACCCAUGCUGGGCCCUCAACUUAAUUGCUGCCUAGAGCUCAUAGAAGGAUCUCACAGCACUGCUCCAGGGCACUGAAGCUUACAGUGAAAGCACAUUUUCAGCAAGUACUGAAGAUUGUCUCCACGUUGGCUGGUUUGAAACUGUGAUCUUUUGAAUGUAAUCCAGGAAAGGAAUGGAAAGGAAAGAAGUGCUCAGAAAGCUCCCAGAAGCAUUUUGGCACUCACCAAAGCAGCCGGAAGAUGAAUAACACAGUGGGGAUAGAUGGCUAACAAGAAGCCCCUCUCCGGAUGCCGGCCCCUCUUGGACUUCCCAGCUUCCAGAAUUGUGUAUGUUUAAGCUCAGGCUGGAAAAGGAUCACUGAAAGUCACUUGGAUGGUGUCUCGUGUGUCUGUGAUGAGCUUGCUGUUGCUUUCUUUCUCCUUGACAGAUGAGAAAACAGUGGCUUCAAAGGUUAAACAACUUGUCUUCGAUUGCACAGCUAACAAGAGAUACUGUUAUAUGUGCUCAUGUAAAUUGUCUGGCAAUUAGCUGCAAGAGGAUUGUAGGAAGAGAUUCUACCUAUCCAUCUCUUUACACCAUGCCUUCUGAAGAGAAGAUUUUCGGAGAGAAUCCUUGGAUUUAGUCAGGAAUAUUAGAUCCCUAAAUAAAAAUGUCUAAAAUCCUUAAAAAAAAAAAAAAAAAAAAAAAAAAAAAA
rnacentral:lncRNA from 1 species